rnacentral:piRNA from 1 species
UUCAAGACCUCCUGCCAGGCCUGGCAUC